GACGAACGCUGGCGGCGUGCUUAACACAUGCAAGUCGAACGGAAAGGCCUCUUUCGGGGGGUACUCGAGUGGCGAACGGGUGAGUAACACGUGAGUAACCUGCCCUUGACUUUGGGAUAACUUCAGGAAACUGGGGCUAAUACCGGAUAGGAGCUCCUGCUGCAUGGUGGGGGUUGGAAAGUUUCGGCGGUUGGGGAUGGACUCGCGGCUUAUCAGCUUGUUGGUGGGGUAGUGGCUUACCAAGGCUUUGACGGGUAGCCGGCCUGAGAGGGUGACCGGCCACAUUGGGACUGAGAUACGGCCCAGACUCCUACGGGAGGCAGCAGUGGGGAAUAUUGCACAAUGGGUGGAAGGCUGAUGCAGCAACGCCGUGUGCGGGAUGACGGCCUUCGGGUUGUAAACCGCUUUCGCUCAUGACGAAGCUUUGUGUGACGGUAGUGGGUAAAGAAGCACCGGCUAACUACGUG
rnacentral:rRNA from 1 species